rnacentral:rRNA from 1 species
ACGAACGCUGGCGGCGUGCUUAACACAUGCAAGUCGAACGGAAAGGCCCUGCUUUUGUGGGGCGCUCGAGUGGCGAACGGGUGAGUAACACGUGAGUAACCUGCCCUUGACUUUGGGAUAACUUCAGGAAACUGGGGCUAAUACCGGAUAGGAGCUCCUGCUGCAUGGUGGGGGUUGGAAAGUUUCGGCGGUUGGGGAUGGACUCGCGGCUUAUCAGCUUGUUGGUGGGGUAGUGGCUUACUAAGGCUUUGACGGGUAGCCGGCCUGAGAGGGUGACCGGCCACAUUGGGACUGAGAUACGGCCCAGACUCCUACGGGAGGCAGCAGUGGGGAAUAUUGCACAAUGGGCGGAAGCCUGAUGCAGCAACGCCGCGUGCGGGAUGACGGCCUUCGGGUUGUAAACCGCUUUCGCCUGUGACGAAGCGUGAGUGACGGUAAUGGGUAAAGAAGCACCGGCUAACUACGUG